AAACGCACAGUAUUAAAUAUAUAAUAUUCAUAAUAAAUUAAUUGUUGAAAUAUGGGUCUGAUACCCUGACGUUAAAUAUAUUAUUGCCCCCGCUGUCUAUAUAACUGCUUUUUCCUUUUCAGUAUAUACUUGUAAGUUAGAUAUGUUUGUACGGAACAUAAAUUAUACUAUUUUGAACUGAGAAGACUUUCACGGAGUAGGACGAUAGUUUUAAAAACACUUUUCUAUAAAACAUUAUAAUGGAAUACAUUAUCUCGUUGUUUACGGCCGACAGUUAUUUGUUUACACAAACAUAUUAGGAACUUUCAAUCAAACACCGCAUUAUCAGACCGUAUAUUAUUAUAAUAUACGUUAUUAUAUUACUGGUUGGGAGUGAAGAGAGAGAGAGAUGUUCGCGACGAGUCGAGUGGUAAAAAGUAAAUAACAAUAAAGAUAUUAAAACGAAAUCUUGAAAUGACACUGUAACAUUUGAUGGACAGUGUAUAAUAUUG